rnacentral:rRNA from 1 species
CCCUUAGAUGUCCGGGGCCGCAUGCGCGCUACACUGAAGGAAUCAGCGUGGCUUUCUCCCUGACCCGAAAGGGUUGGGAAACCCGUUGAAUCUCCUUCGUGAUAGGGAUUGGGGCUUGAAAUUGUUCCCCAUGAACGAGGAAUUCCCAGUAAGCGCGAGUCAUAAGCUCGCGUUGAUUACGUCCCUGCCCUUUGUACACACCGCCCGUCGCUACUACCGAUUGAACGGUUUAGUGAGGGCCUCGGAUUGGUCUCGGCCCGCUCUUUACCGGGCGGCGCCGUUGGUCGAGAAGACGCUCGAACUUGAUCGUUUAGAGGAAGUAAAAGUCGUAACA